ACAUAUACAUAUAAGCAUAUGUAUCUCCUUCUCACGGGGGCGCCGCUAAAGGAAUCGGGAGCACACACCAAAACCUAGUGGACGUUGAAGCUAUCAAAGGAAGCAGGAAGUUGCCAGAUUUCGUUGGUGUGAAAAGAGAGAUGGAGAUGUUGUCGUCGUGUUGUGGUUACUCGUAGAGUUGCGGUGUCGUUGUUUGUUGUGUGCAUUGGUGACUUCGGAUCUGUGAUGAGGAGAUAGAGCAAACCGGAGCAAGGGAACCUUCUUGGCUUUUAUCCGUCGCAUACUCAUGAAGGAAGAGAUGAGGUUGAGCCUCGGUGGUGGGACUGGCUGCGUGGAAGGAAAACCGAAGCGGAGCUUUUUGAUGGUGGUGUGAGAGGAAGAGAGAGAAGGAGUUGGGCGGAAGGGGUGUAUACCAUUGAUGGGUCAGGUGACUCAUGCCGUAGUUGUGGUGGUGGAAGAGCAACGCCGGGGUGACCACGAGUGGAGAAAAGAAGGGCAAGAAAGAAUGAGGAAGACAAACAAGCAAAAGGGGCAGAUCCGAUUUCCAGUUUUCGAGGCUGACUCCUGGCGGAUCCGAUGUAAUUAGCUCACAAAUAAGAUGUCUCUGGAAAGGUCUCGCUGUCAAGAAUCUAUAUCCGCUGAAAGAGCUUGAAUCGAGGACAUAUUCGAGAAGUUAUGGAUGUUUUUUCCGGAUCAAGUAACUGUUGAUCUUGUCAUAUCUAGAACCCUAGAAACAGUUUCGUGUUGGCUUCUUCAAGGCAUCGAUUGAGGUGCAGACACUUUUCGGAUCGUCAUGAAAUUUGGUACAGAGUUGCAUGAUACUACUAGCUAGUUAAUGAGCGGUGGGAUUGCGUUUCCAACGGUUAGUUCUUGAUUUAAUUGCUUGUUUUAGAGACGGGUUUGCAUAGAGUUAAUUGUAAUAAGUUGCAUUGUUUGGUUUGGAAAACGAGGUUGGAUUGAGCUGAAGCUCUAUUGGAGUAUUCUUGAGGCAUGUUUAUAUAUUUUGGUUGAUGGAGAACCAAGGUGGAAGUCUCCAACAUGUUGAGGCUAAGGUGAGGGUGGUAUUUGUGGAUAACAGUAACCUCUUUCCUUAUGUACUUUUCGAUAGUUGCUGAGUAUAGACUCAAGAAUUGUUUGUUGAUUGAAAGUGUUUGUAUUGAUUUGUGUGCAUUGUAAAAUAGGCUGUUAGUAACAUGAUAUAUGUUAGGCACAUUAGCUACAUAAUCUGAUGUUAUGAAUUAACUUAUA